rnacentral:rRNA from 1 species
CAUUAAAGAGUAAGGGUGCUCAGCGCCCGACCUCCAACCCUUUGUUGUUAAAACUACCUUGUUGCUUUGGCGGGACCGCUCGGUCUCGAGCCGCUGGGGAUUCGUCCCAGGCGAGCGCCCGCCAGAGUUAAACCAAACUCUUGUUAUUAAACCGGUCGUCUGAGUUAAAAUUUUGAAUAAAUCAAAACUUUCAACAACGGAUCUCUUGGUUCUCGCAUCGAUGAAGAACGCAGCGAAAUGCGAUAAGUAAUGUGAAUUGCAGAAUUCAGUGAAUCAUCGAAUCUUUGAACGCACAUUGCGCCCCUUGGUAUUCCGAGGGGCAUGCCUGUUCGAGCGUCAUUACACCACUCAAGCUAUGCUUGGUAUUGGGUGCCGUCCUUAGUUGGGCGCGCCUUAAAGACCUCGGCGAGGCCUCACCGGCUUUAGGCGUAGUAGAAUUUAUUCGAACGUCUGUCAAAGGAGAGGACUUCUGCCGACUGAAACCUUUUAUUUUUCUAGGUUGACCUCGGAUCAGGUAGGGAUACCCGCUGAACUUAAGCAUAUCAAUAAGGCGGAGGA